GCCACCAGCCCUGUCACCUUGUAACUUACAAUUGGCAGCCCACUGAAGCUAAGCAGGUGUGAGCCUGCUCAGUACCUGGAUGGGAGACCUCCUGGAAAAAACUAAGGUCGCUGCUGGAA
rfam:Lepisosteus oculatus linkage group LG11, whole genome shotgun sequence.